UUCUUAACCUGACUCAACAUGCUUUUAGGUAAAUCUCUCUUUUUAAGGCAUCCCUCUCUUGUGAUUAAGCGGUGCACGGACUGUAUUAAUUUGUAAUAUGUUUUGGCUAAUGUUUUCUUUAGUGUGGGGUUUGUGCUAUGAACUGUGUGCAUUUUAAGACUGCUUGCUGCCAUCAUGUCCCUUUGUUGCACUCAAACAUCAAAUCUAUUCUGCAAACUUACCAUUUUUCACCUUUUUUUUUCUUUUUUAAAUACAAAUAGUAUUAAUAAAUAUCAGGAAGUAACACAAUGUUGGGCUCAACUAUUCAGAGUGGUAGAGACAACAACAUACACAAUCACAUCAACACUGAGAGACAAUACAGACAGUUGCCCGGUAUAGAUGAAGCCCAGUCUUACCUCCCUGUCUCUGUUGCAGCACCUGGACGUUUUUGUAGUCCGCGAGAACCCAGAGCCGGCCCUCAGCAGGUGCGCGUCAGUUUCUUCACCAGCAGCGAUUGCAAUCCCUGUUUGUCUAGGGCCGCCUUCUCUGCCUCCUUCAACGUGUGGUCCCGUGCCGGUCCGUGCGAUGCUGGUGACGGAUGCAUUGCUGGGAGCACUACCUCGCUACAUAAGACCUGAGGAGGCUGGCCAGUGGUGACAGACGAAUCCCAUGCUGACAGAGGAUGAUGUCCAUCUGCCGUGACGAUCGAGAUGUUCCAUGCCGAGUCAGGGAUCCAAGAUGCCAUUCACCAACAUUAUAAUUACUUGUUAAACACUGGCUUACAAAUUGUUAUUUUCUAGAAUGCCCAGGAGGGGUGGGCUACCACUGGCCCGUGGACCCCCAGAGGUUUUUUUCUCCCUCAACUUUCAGUUGGGAGUUUUUGUUCCUUUCCCUGGUGGCCAGUAGGUAUACUUAUAGCUCUAUAAUAAGUGCUUCAUUAUGGUAGUCAUUAGUUGACCGUCUUCUUUGUUUGUAUCUGUUUUUCUUGCCUUUGUAUGUGUUAAAGCACUCUGUGUCACGGCAUGAAAAGAGCGCUCUAUAAAAAAAUAAAAUAAUAAUAAUAAUAAUAAUAAUAAUAAUA
rnacentral:lncRNA from 1 species